GAGCUUUUCGGAGGUGGCUGGAUCUACAGUGUGAUCCUGGGAUCAAGGGCCAUGAUUGCUACCUGCCCUAAUAGCCUGGUUAAAAUAUAAGGGACAGAGAGCUGGUGUUGUCACUUGCAGCUGCUUCGCUGUUUCGCUACUUGCUGCCUUGCUGCCUGCUGUGGACUAUUUCUCCUCUGUGAUGCCCUUCUGCCUGCCACACCGCCUUGGAGCCAGCCAACUAUAAACUGAAACUGAAACUUCUACACACUGUGAGCUGGAUGUGGUGGCACACGCCUGUGAUCCCAGCGCUCGGGAGGCUGAGGCAAGAGGACUGCCGCGAGUUCAAGGCUAGCUUGAACAACAAAACGAGACCCUCUCUCCAAAAAUAAAUAAAAUGAUCUUAUUCCUGUCCCCCAACAUGCACUCAAAGUUAUAUCAUUGCUUCGAGAAUUUGCUAAAUUUUUGGAACUAAAGCGUCUUAAAGAUCAAGCAAUUCAGCUCCAUUUUAGAGGACUUCAUCUUUCUGCAUACCAUGUUUCAUGAUAAACACUUUCAUUUGUAUUAUAUCUUAAUAAUUUAAGAAGAUGUAAAAUGUUUUAAGAAUCCCUAAGGACUUAGAAAGGGUGAAUUUCCAUUUUAUUCUCCCUUACUAUCCUGAGUUGUGGUUCCACUAAAUACUCUGGAAACUCAAGAGAUUCAGUAGGCAAAUGAUCUGCAGACAGGAUGCAGAUUCGCUGCUACAGGUGCAUUAUGUAAGAACCUCUGGGUCCCCUUUUGUGGGACUGUAUGAUUCCAAAUUCAAUUACUCCCCUAGCCUCUAUUGUAUUUAAAAAUUAAUGGUUAAAAUGUGCUUGUUAAGUUCUGGAAUAAUAGAUAAAAUCUGUAGCAAAACAAAGUUCCUAAGUAAAUUACUCAACCCCUUGUUUGUCCGGAGAACAAAUGUUCCGGGGCCCACUGUCGGUAGAACAAUCCAUCAAUGUGUCUGCCGACCAUCAGUACGUGACAGUCGACCUCUAACCUUUGUUCCUUUUUUUCGUACAUCUACAUGUUAAACUCCCCCUCAACCCCCUAUGAAACAGCCUCGGACUCUGAG
ensembl:lncRNA